CCCCCCCCCUUUCCUUCUUGCCGCGCGGCGGUGCCCAAUCCCUCCCGUUCCCUCGUCACGGCCGCAGUCUGCGUUCACUCUUCGUUCCAAGCGGAAUCCUCGCGUCGCGGUCCUAGUGCGUGUUGUGUGUGUUAUAACCUCUCACUUUUGGAUUACUACUUGGGUUUAACCCGCUUUCAGUUGGAUUUAAACUUAUUCUCCGCUUAUAAUACUUCUGGUUGAUAGCUGGAAGCAAUCGCUAGCACACAGCUAUUCUAAGACAAUAUGCUCAUGACUCUGUGGAGUUUUCUCUAGAAGUAACAACCUUUCAACUAUCACCAUGUAAGUAAACUGAAAUCUCUAUCAGGUAUAUAUGUGGCAUUUUAAUGCCUAAUUUGGCUGGCUCAGCUGCAUAGAACAUGGUAAAAUGAUAGAACAAAAAUCGAGCAACAAGGGGAAAAAAUAUAUUGAACAAGUAAUAUUUCAAACUACAUAGAGAUGAGAAAUAAUAAAAAAACUUACUAGAAACAAAACAAACGUUUCGACCGCCAACGAAAUGCGGUCUCCUUCAGUGCAACAAGUAAAAACAUUUACCUAAAAAAUUAAAAAAUAUUAAAAAGCUACAAAACUACUAGCAAAGUAAGUAAAGCG
rnacentral:lncRNA from 1 species